rnacentral:rRNA from 1 species
AGCAGCCGCGGUAAUUCCAGCUCCAAUAGCGUAUAUUAAAGUUGUUGCAGUUAAAAAGCUCGUAGUUGAAUUUCGGGGUUCUACCGUUGGUCGGGCAAUUGUCUGUACUGACGUGUGGAAUUUCUACCUUCUGGGGAACCAUCAUGUUAUUAAUUUAGCGUGGUGGGAAACCGGGACCUUUACCUUGAAAAAAUUAGAGUGUUCAAAGCAGGCUUACGUCUGAAUACAUUAGCAUGGAAUAAUAAAAUAGGACGGUGGUCCUGUUUUGUUGGUUUCUGAAUCACCGUAAUGAUUAAUAGGGAUAGUUGGGGGCAUUAGUAUUCAAUUGUCAGAGGUGAAAUUCUUGGAUUUAUUGAAGACUAACUUCUGCGAAAGCAUUUGCCAAGGAUGUUUUCAUUAAUCAAGAACGAAAGUUAGGGGAUCGAAGACGAUCAGAUACCGUCGUAGUCUUAACCAUAAACUAUGCCGACUAGGGAUCGGAC